CCUAGUGGUUAGAGGAGGCAGGUAGCCUAGUGGUUAGAGGAGACAGGUAGCCUAGUGGUUAGAGGAGGCAGGUAGCCUAGUGGUUAGAGGAGGCAGGUAGCCUAGUGGUUAGAGGAGGCAGGUAGCCUAGUGGUUAGAGGAGACAGGUAGCCUAGUGGUUAGAGGAGGCAGGUAGCCUAGUGGUUAGAGGAGGCAGGUAGCCUAGUGGUUAGAGGAGGCAGGUAGCCUAGUGGUUAGAGGAGGCAGGUAGCCUAGUGGUUAGAGGAGGCAGGUAGCCUAGUGGUUAGAGGAGACAGGUAGCCCAGUGGUUAGAGGAGGCAGGUAGCCUAGUGGUUAGAGGAGGCAGGUAGCCUGGUGGUUAGAGGAGGCAGGCAGCCUAGUGGUU